rnacentral:rRNA from 1 species
ACGAACGCUGGCGGCAUGCCUAACACCUGCAAGUCGAACGAGACCUUCGGGUCUAGUGGCGCACGGGUGCGUAACGCGUGGGAAUCUGCCCUUGGGUUCGGGAUAACAGUUGGAAACGACUGCUAAUACCGGAUGAUGACUUCGGUCCAAAGAUUUAUCGCCCAGGGAUGAGCCCGCGUCGGAUUAGCUAGUUGGUGAGGUAAGAGCUCACCAAGGCGACGAUCCGUAGCUGGUCUGAGAGGAUGAUCAGCCACACUGGGACUGAGACACGGCCCAGACUCCUACGGGAGGCAGCAGUGGGGAAUAUUGGACAAUGGGCGAAAGCCUGAUCCAGCAAUGCCGCGUGAGUGAUGAAGGCCUUAGGGUUGUAAAGCUCUUUUACCCGGGAUGAUAAUGACAGUACCGGGAGAAUAAGCCCCGGCUAACUCCGUG